rnacentral:lncRNA from 1 species
GUUGGUAGGACCACUGCAUGGGGCGCUUUCAGCAUAACACUUCAGGACUAUGAUUUCGAGGCGCUGGGUAGCAAUGGAUGUAAGGCGAAACUCAAAUCAAGCUUGAACACCACUUGUACUGUACCUACGAACAGGGGUGGAGGCUUGACCGGAACAGAUCUCGUUCUUAAAGAGAAGUCCAAGGACAUGGUGAUUUUGACGGCAGGGCCAUUCGCAUUCCAACAAUCUAAGGUAAAAGCCACUCGUGCGGUAUCACGGGAGAAUCUGCAGAGCAACACAGAUGACAAGUACUCCAGUGGCUCUUCCCUCCCUGCUGUGUCAGGCUUGUGGUACGCUCCUCCUGAAAACAAUUACUAUACAUAUCCUUCCCCUGCUCACUAUGAGUCUCCUAACCACCACGAGAAUCGUGGUGAUCAUGAGUCCCAUAAAGACAUUCAUCGUAGAUCUGAACACGAGGGUCGACAGGGGUCUUCCGGCGAGCGUACUGAUCAUAAAGCUCGUGACAAGGAUUGCUCAUCGAAGAGUGGAAGCCACCAUUACAAAACCCCUCCCCACCACUCAGUACCCAAUUACGAAAAGUCUCCACCUACAUAUCACAGUGAGCAUCACAACACUCCUUCCCCUCAUGAAUCUUCUUCCUCCCAUCCUCCUCCUCGUCCCCAUUACGAUGCACCUCCCUAUGUCCCCUACGUCCAUCAUGCACCUCUACCACCACAUGACGGCUACAAAUCUCCUCCUCCACCUGAUCAUGACAAUUACGAAGCACCUCCAAAGCAAUAUGAUCCUCCUCCAUAUUACCAGAGAGGCAAUGUUGACACCACUGCAAAAGCAGCAUCAGCGCAGCCGAAGGAGAGUUCGCCAUGAAAGGGGUUUCAAGAUUCGUAAGCCUCG